GACUUACUCUGCUUUGUCUUUUUGCUAUAGAAUUUAACCAUUGGCCCAUCAACCUCUAGCUCUCUGGAUCCUGACCUGCCUGUGCAGCAACUGAGUAUCCAUAUAAUUUUAGAAGAAACUGCAGAAACCAGAAGAUUAAACAUUUCAUAGCAGGGCACCAGCAGCAGACAACAUGGUGGGGUGAACCUCCCAGUAGGUGAGUCACUGCUGCUUGCCAGGGUGAGAUGGUGGUGACAUUGGUGCAUUGCAAAAGCCCCAGUGAGGUCAGUCCUGUGGUCCUGACAGUGCUUUUGCACCACACUGCCCUGCCUGCUGCCUCACCCUUCGCAGUAAGCAUCAGAGACUUGCUGCUCUAUUAUAUCAUGAAUAUUUUUAAAAUACCAAAGCAGCAAUGUUAUGCAGUGGGAGAAACGAAAGUAUGUAAUGUGGGUGAGUUAUUGCGCUCUCUCUCUCUCUCUCUCUCUCUGUGUGUGUGUGUGUGUGUGUUACACAUCAGGAAUUCAUAACCUAUAAUGGAUUUUAAAAGCAAGGUGUGAAAAACCAUACUUUUAGCUUUAGUGGCUGGGAUUUAACUGGUACCCUUAUACUCACAGAAGGGAUCCAGUCGAGGCAUCUGCUUACAGAGGAGUGGGGGAUUUUUGCCUUUUUAUCCUUCCAUGUGUAACUCUCCCUGACACCACUGGUUCUGGAUGGCCCCUUAACUCUCAGGAGCUGAUUGUCAGGGGGCUGUUAGUGCAGGGGUAGGGAACCUAUGGCCCUUGAAACAUUGGACUCCCAACUCCCAUUAGCCCCAACCAGUAUGAGAAGUGGUCAGGGAUGAUGGGAGUUGGAGCCCAAGAACAUCUGCAUGGCCUGGAAGGCCGCAGGUUCCUCUUAUGUUAGCAGAUGCCUUUUCUGCAUCGUAAGCCAUUUCAUGAAUGCAAGGGCAGAACUUAGACUCAGUCCCCUUAAAUCAGAGAAAAACAUCACAAUACUCAAUAUAAUGAAGGUAUGUUGUACACUUUCUUGGAAAAACAGCCUGAAGAUCCUAAUUGCAGAAAGUUGGAGCAAGCAUUGAAUAAAGGUUUUUCAGUAAUACUGUUUUUAAAGGCCAAUAGGUCUGAGCCAUUACAAAAAUGUCCCAUUGAACAAAGUUAAAUGAAGAAUCAAGGACACCAGCUAUCACUAAGAGUACCUUCUCUUAGCAAAUAAGUAACAAAGACUCCAGUUUCCGUAACAGAAUGUCUGGUUUUCGGUUUGUUUGUUUUAGAAAACAUGAAUAGAGGCUGUUUACUGUGAAAAGGAGCAAACAAGAAUAUUAGAUAAGAUGACAUAUUGACAAAUCUCAGCCUGGAAUUCAUUAAACACUUUUAAAGGCAGUAUUUAAAUAGAUAACCAGGGCCUGUCAGGUCAAGGAUAGGAAUCCAUGUGCCAUGCAAAUAUACGAGUCCAACUGUUUACAGUAUAGCAAGAAAAUGAGGCACAGUCCUUUGAGAACUAGGGCAGGAAUGAAUAGGCUCAGGGUUCUUUCAGCAAGCUUGUGUGUGUUGCAAUGGUCAACAUAACUAUGACUAAAGAAAGCAGACCAUAUAUCCAUCUAGUGCAAUACAGUUGACACUGACUGGCAGCAGCUCUCCAGGGUUUCAUGCAGGGGUCCCUCUAUAUACCUGGGAUUGAACCUGGAACUUUUUGUGUGUAAAGCAAGCAUUCUGCCACUGAGCUAAACUCUUUCCUAGUUGCAAUUCCAGGUUGCACAACUGUUCAGCCAGUUCCUGAUUUUCACAUCACAACUAACCUUCCUUGAGUUACCUCCCCUUCUUAACACAAAACUGCUCCAGAACAAGUUUUGAGGAUAAGAAGCAAACAGCCCACAGCCAAUAGGAUAUGUUUUUAUUCUAAUCUUCAAAGUAACAAACUCUGCAGUGAAUUCCUUUAGUGGGCCUGGGGUGGGAAGCUCCUGAAAUUGUUUUCUGAGAAACAUCUGAUUGUUUAGAAAAUACAUUUUUUGACCCUGGAAAGUCAUUCAGAAAACACAAAAUAUUUGUACACAGUCUCUUAACAGUGGACAGAUUUCUGGGCCCUCUUCUUGCCAUAUCAGUCCUUAGAUGCAACUGCAAAUGACAACACUGCACAGUGGGAUUUGUUUAUAAAAGCCUUUGUUUACAGAAAUCCUUAAUUUGCCAAAUUCUAGUUUCUUGGAUAGUGGUUUAAACGCAACAUUCCUUAUAUCAUUUUGCUCUCUACUUCCAUGAGUAGGCCACACUAAUAUAAAUACGGGGGGGGGGGGGCACACAAACAUCCAUGUUAGACAGAAGGAACAUAAGCAAUACUGCCAACGUUUGCUAGAGCAGUCUCAUCACCACCCCUGCUCCAGAUGUUACAGAAAUUAGCACGGGGCUUAAGUUGAAUUCUGUAUAUACUUGUCAGGCCACUGGAUUCAAUAGGACUUAUUUCUGAGUAGACAUGGCUAGGAUUGCAUUGUUGAACAGUUUUUAAUUUAACUAUUUGCACCAUAUCAAUCCUGCAUUUCCUUUCCCUACAAUAGAUCCCUUUAUGAACCUUAGGUAGGAAAUGCAAAUCUCUUUUCCAGUGACAGCAAGGUUAGGGCAUACAAUUUCAAUUACUGUAGUGAGCAAGCACUCAUAACAAAGAGAAAUAAUAAUUAAAAGUUCCACCCAGCCUUCUCUUCCUGUUCUGAUUACAAUCUUCCAUGUGCAGGACAAAAGUAGUGGAAGUAGAAUUCAGUUGUAAACAUGUAAAUAACACAUCCUCUUGGCAACAUGACCACUGCCUAAAAAAGCUAAUUUGCUCUGUCCUUGUUUUUUGGGACUGAAUUCUGGGUUGUUGUUGUAUUAAAGAAAACAUUAGGGCUAGGAAGAUAGACCAACAGGAGAAGUUAAAAGCAAGGAUUCCAUGUGUCAAUCCAAUUGUGGGUUUGGUUUUUUUUUUGUUUGGUUUUUUGUAAAUACAGGUUUGCUAGAAUCAGACUUUGGGAAAUUCGGUACUACUGUCUCCUCAAAUCAAGUAAUAAUUAUUUAAAUAUUUUUUUACAAUGCACUUUAAAAAAGGAUCUUGGAACAACUUACAGAUAAUAAGUAAUAUAGUCACUGCUCUCAGGUUUGCCAAGUUAAAAGACAAGAUCAAAAUGCAAAAAACAAAACAAAACCAUAUUAGGGUAACACCUUCAGGCAACCAAAAUAAUGUGCAAGCUUUCAAGUUCUUUUAUCCGGCUAGGUGGGGAAUCUUUUCAGCCAGACAGCUGUAGUCUCCUGGACAUUCUCCAGAGAGCCAUGCACCAGUGGUAAGCAGCCCUAGCAGCAGAAGUGGACAGAACAUCAAAUGUAAAUUUUGCCAUUGUACCAUAGGCUGGUUUCUACACACCCUCCCUCUUGUCCAUCCAGACAAGCAAGAGAAAUUCCAAUCAAGCAAAAAAUACUUGGGAGUUUGAAGCAGGACCUGGAUGGUAAACAGAGUAAUGGGGGAGGGAGUUGGGUGACACGGACACCACGGAAUCAGCAUUGGGGCACGCAAGGAUAAGGAAAUGCGGAGGGUGGAGGAAAACAGAAAGCUUGAGCACUAGCUACAAUUCUUAUAAGGACUUGCUGGAACGAAAACAGGGCAGUCAAUGCAAUGACUGUCACUAGAUGGCAGUUAAAGGGAGGGCCAGAAAAAAAGCUAGCCUCUCAGCAGAGUUGAUGGGACUAGUCCUGCUUCUUUUCUCUACUUCUGCUCCGCAGUUUGAAGGACUCCAGCCGGCAGAAUAGCCGGCAGAAUUUAAAGCAACAUUUCAUGCUGCAGAUUUGACAGGCAGAAAAGGGAUUGUAAACGGACAGCUAGAAGCAAGGAAGGCAGAUGGGAUAGGUGCGCACAGGGCUGGGUAAUGGCUUGCCAAAACAAAUGGAAUUGGAAAGCGCUGCAUAUUGAAUUGAUUUUAAAUAGCAGCACAAACUUACACGUGCCUACUCAAAAGUCAAUCCAUUGACUCCAAUGCAGUCUCCCCUACCCCCUCGAUGAGCAGAGGAUUCUCGCUUACAGCGCAAUCCCUAUAUAUGUCUACUCGGAAGCAAGUAGGUACAGGACUGCGGCCGUGAAUAACGAAAUCAAACCCACGGACGUGGUCGCGCGCGACCGAUGCCUGCACCAGAACUUGACACGGAGCUUUCAAGCUACGAGGCUGCGCCUGACAACUGAUCUUGAGCCUUUGGCUCCUGCUAGCGGAACCGCCGGGCCCCUUACGAGGCUGCAGGCCGCAGAGAUGCUGCAGGCGCAGCCUUCCCCGGUCGCUGCUCCGCCAAAGGAACAGGGAGGCUCCACCUGUUGGGUUUCCGCAACCCAAAGGGGAGCCUCGACGCCCGCCGCCUGCAACCGGAA